UACGUAGGGUGCGAGCGUUAAUCGGAAUUACUGGGCGUAAAGCGUGCGCAGGCGGUUUUGUAAGCCAGAUGUGAAAUCCCCGGGCUUAACCUGGGAAUGGCAUUUGGGACUGCAAGGUUCGAGUGCGGCAGAGGAGACUGGAAUUCCUGGUGUAGCAGUGAAAUGCGUAGAUAUCAGGAGGAACACCGAUGGCGAAGGCAGGUCUCUGGGCUGACACUGACGCUCAUGCACGAAAGCGUGGGGAGCAAACAGG
rnacentral:rRNA from 1 species